rnacentral:rRNA from 1 species
CCUACGGGGCGCUUCAGUGGGGAAUAUUGGACAAUGGGCGAAAGCCUGAUCCAGCCAUGCCGCGUGUGUGAAGAAGGCCUUCGGGUUGUAAAGCACUUUCAGUGGGGAAGAAAGCCUUGGGGCUAAUACCCUCGAGGAAGGACAUCACCCACAGAAGAAGCACCGGCUAACUCCGUGCCAGCAGCCGCGGUAAUACGGAGGGUGCGAGCGUUAAUCGGAAUUACUGGGCGUAAAGCGCGCGUAGGCGGUCUGAUAAGCCGGUUGUGAAAGCCCCGGGCUCAACCUGGGAACGGCAUCCGGAACUGUCAGGCUAGAGUGCAGGAGAGGAAGGUAGAAUUCCCGGUGUAGCGGUGAAAUGCGUAGAGAUCGGGAGGAAUACCAGUGGCGAAGGCGGCCUUCUGGACUGACACUGACGCUGAGGUGCGAAAGCGUGGGUAGCAAACAGGAUUAGAUACCCCAGUAGUC